rnacentral:rRNA from 1 species
GAUGAACGCUGGCGGCGUGCUUAACACAUGCAAGUCGAACGAUUAAAGCCCCUUCGGGGGUGUAUAGAGUGGCGAACGGGUGAGUAACACGUGGGCAAUCUGCCCCUCACUUCGGGAUAACUCAGGGAAACCUGAGCUAAUACCGGAUACUCCGGUCUGACCGCAUGGUCGGACCGGGAAAGUUCCGGCGGUGAGGGAUGAGCCCGCGGCCCAUUGGCUUGUUGGUGAGGUAACGGCCCACCAAGGCGACGAUGGGUAGCCGAGCUGAGAGGCUGAUCGGCCACAAUGGGACUGAGACACGGCCCAGACUCCUACGGGAGGCAGCAGUGGGGAAUCUUGCGCAAUGGGCGAAAGCUUGACGCAGCAACGCCGCGUGCGGGAUGAAGGCCUUCGGGUUGUAAACCGCUUUCAGCAGGGAUGAAACUGACAGUACCUGCAGAAGAAGCCCCGGCUAACUACGUGCCAGCAGCCGCGGUAAGAC